AAAACAUGCCUAUGACUAUACACAUUACAAGGUAAUAAAAAACUCAAGUUGUCAUAAAUAUUAAAGUAAAAAUAAAAAUUUAGAAUCAAAACUAAAAUAAAUAAUACAUAUGAAAAACAUGCCUAUGACUAUACACAUUACAAGGUAAUAAAAAAUACAAUGCAUUAAAUUGUUGAACCUGCCCAGGUACUAUCUGACAGCAGAAUAACACAUUAAAUUGUUGGAUUAAACAUGUAGAUUACAUACUAAUGUAGACCAAAAUAUUUUCCUUUUCCUUCUACCCUUAAAUCUAGAGAUAGCAAAAACCAGGGACCUAACACUAGCAAGUUCAAAUAUAUCGCUAAAAGAAACACAGCUUUAGCUCCAUCCAAAUGUACUUUCGAUUCUUAAAUUCUGCUUCAAUAUAUUGGAUGAAUUUCCCCGCUGCAUGAUGUUAGGUGAUCAAACGUAGUACUUUAAAACUGCAAAAGUAAGAAGCAAGCACCCUCACUUGAUAAUCUGAAGGGUUGUCUUCCUCACCACUUGGUCCUCUAAAAGGGAGCAGCUUAGCUUUAGGUUUCUCUAAAGAGAAAACAACAGGAAUUCCACCCUCAAUCCCAUGAUCUUUCCUUAAACGGUGUCUCACCUAGAAGCAAAAAUUUGACAAAGAGUAAAGUGAAUGAUAGCAGGAAAUAAACCCCUAAACAAUGUCUUCUUAAUGCAAUAGAUAAACAAGAGUAAAAUUGGAUAUCCAAAAUAACAAAUACAAGCAUAAGAUAUUAAAGUUUUUCCAAACCAAAUAAAAUCUAAUUGGACAAGGCCCCAAAGUAAACACCAAUCAUAAGAUCAGCAACCACCAGAAAACUGCAGUAGCAAGUGUAGAUUCAAAAGCCACAGACGCAAAGAGCAAUGAUAAAAGAAAGAAAACCACAACUCUCCUGUAGGCUGUAGCAUUUUAAUUUCAUAAAGAGUAAAUAUUGGUUCAUCCAUAGACUAUGGAUUAAAGAGAUUUACCUAGUCAGUUGCUCAGAAACUAUAUCAUCUGCUAGAAGGCUCAAGCCAGUCAUCCCAAUAUUCCCAUUUCCAAGACCAAUCGCACAUUUGACAGUUGUAUCUGAUGCAAUUUUAAUUCCCGGAAUAGCAAUCAAAGAAAUGGAAAGAUAACAUUUUCACCAAUUUACUAGUAUCAUACAAAAGUUUUGACGAAAGAGAGUUCAAAUUUGAACUGAAAAUGACAUUAAAAAUUUAGAAUAAACACAGAAUCGAUAAAGAUGAUUGCAUCUAUCAGAUCUAGCAUGUUUAGCGUUUUGCCAGUGUUGUAGGUCAGUUAGAGCAUCGAAUACAAGCAUUAAAAUAAUAGCAUCUUUCAUUAUGUGUGAGAAGCAUACCACAAUAAAACAACAAUCACCACAUCAUGCAAGUUUUCUUAGAAGUACAACUUAUAGCCAAUAGAAAACACCAAAAAUCUUUAACUUGGUGAUACUGUCACAACAGAAAUCGAGACUCAACACAGCCAUAUCUUUAACUCAAUCUUCUAUCUUCUCACAAGAAAUCGACUAAUCUCCCAAAAUUUGCAGCCAAACACGAGUGUUAAAGAGAAAAAAAAGAUUAUGCAUUGAAACUAAGAAGAGUUUUCUGUUGCAUCCAUAUAUAUCUACAACAGUAGUCGAGAGCACCCAGCGCCAACACUGACCCACAAUAGACAAGGCAAUGAGUAAAAAACAACAAGAAUAAUGUAACUAUACAGAGUAUUAUGGUAACAGGAAAAUAAUUGGAAAGUAUAAAAAAAAUCAAACAAAAUAAAGGAAAUAUCUACUGAAUGAUAAAUAUUACAACAAUUAUAAGCUGGCACAUGCUCAAUUGAUAUUUCUUUGAUAAAUGAAAUUAUUACUUGACUCCCAAAUCCUCAUCUCUUAUGUUCAGAUAAGAAACUUGUGUGCACAAGAUUCAUAAAAUCAUACAAGCAAAACAUCAAUCAAAUCCCUAAAUUGAGCACUGAAGAUUUCAUUAAUAAAUUAAAUUAUAACUCGACUCCCAAAUUCUCAUCUCUUUUGUCAGAUAACAAACUUCAUGAUACAGAAGGGUAUCAAAAGUGAUAUAACACUCAUGGUAACAAUUAUCAGUCUAACUAUUAAAGAAAGACGAAAAAAAAGCAUAUGCAUACAACACUCAUAGUAACCCUUAGAAAAAAAGGGCAUUAUGUGCUAUAUAACGAAAGCAUAAACUUCAUUUACUUUUCAAUUUUCAUGAUCUGUAAAUGGCAUAAAAUCCAGACCUUAAUGGCAUAAAACAAUAGAACUACGUACUAUUAGCAGAAAGCAGAUUAUAAAAGAACAUUCUACAUACCAGGCAGUUCUACAUACCAGUCAGCAAAAUCACCCCAAAAGAAAUCAUAUAUUUCUCUCCCAACGUCCUCAAAGAAAAAUUUGUUAUAACUCUCAGUGACAGCAUCAAUAAGCAUAUGCAGUUUUGAGACUUGAAAAAUGAACAAUAGUACUCAAGUAACUUCUCUGUAGCAUUCAGAAAAAGAAUAAUUAGGGUAUGUAUGAAUGCUCA
rnacentral:lncRNA from 1 species